rnacentral:rRNA from 1 species
UACGUAGGGGGCUAGCGUUGUCCGAUUUAUUGGGCGUAAAGAGCGUGUAGGCGGCCAGGUAGGUCUGCUGUGAAAACUCGAGGCUCAACCUCGAGACGUCGGCGGAAACCAUCUGGCUAGAGUCCGGAAGAGGAGAGUGGAAUUCCUGGUGUAGCGGUGAAAUGCGCAGAUAUCAGGAAGAACACCCGUGGCGAAGGCGGUUCUCUGGGACGGUACUGACGCUGAGACGCGAAAGCGUGGGGAGCGAACAGG